rnacentral:rRNA from 1 species
GACAGAGGGGGCAAGCGUUGCUCGGAAUCACUGGGCGUAAAGGGCGCGUAGGCGGGAUGGCAAGUCGGUCGUGAAAUCCUUCGGCUCAACCGAAGAACGUCGGCCGAUACUGCCGUUCUUGAGGGAUGCAGAGGAGAUUGGAAUUCCCGGUGUAGCGGUGAAAUGUGUAGAUAUCUAGAGGAACGCCCGUGGCGAAAGCGGGGCACUGGGCCAAUCCUGACGCUGAGACACGAAAGCGUGGGGAGCAAACGGG